rnacentral:rRNA from 1 species
GAUGAACGCUGGCGGCGUGCCUAAUACAUGCAAGUCGAGCGAACAGACGAGGAGCUUGCUCCUCUGACGUUAGCGGCGGACGGGUGAGUAACACGUGGAUAACCUACCUAUAAGACUGGGAUAACUUCGGGAAACCGGAGCUAAUACCGGAUAAUAUAUUGAACCGCAUGGUUCAAUAGUGAAAGACGGUUUUGCUGUCACUUAUAGAUGGAUCCGCGCCGCAUUAGCUAGUUGGUAAGGUAACGGCUUACCAAGGCGACGAUGCGUAGCCGACCUGAGAGGGUGAUCGGCCACACUGGAACUGAGACACGGUCCAGACUCCUACGGGAGGAAGCAGUAGGGAAUCUUCCGCAAUGGGCGAAAGCAUGACGGAGCAACGCCGCGUGAGUGAUGAAGGUCUUCGGAUCGUAAAACUCUGUUAUUAGGGAAGAACAAAUGUGUAAGUAACUAUGCACGACUUGACGGUACCUAAUCAGAAAGCCACGGCUAACUACGUG